AAUAGAUACCCUGGUAGUCCACGCCGUAAACGGUGGGCACUAGGUGUGGGCGACAUUCCACGUCGUCCGUGCCGCAGCUAACGCAUUAAGUGCCCCGCCUGGGGAGUACGGCCGCAAGGCUAAAAACUCAAAGGAAUUGACGGGGGCCCGCACAAGCGGCGGAGCAUGUGGCUUAAUUCGACGCAACGCGAAGAACCUUACCAAGGCUUGACAUACACCGGAAACGUCCAGAGAUGGGCGCCCCCUUGUGGUCGGUGUACAGGUGGUGCAUGGCUGUCGUCAGCUCGUGUCGUGAGAUGUUGGGUUAAGUCCCGCAACGAGCGCAACCCUUGUCCCGUGUUGCCAGCAGGCCCUUGUGGUGCUGGGGACUCACGGGAGACCGCCGGGGUCAACUCGGAGGAAGGUGGGGACGACGUCAAGUCAUCAUGCCCCUUAUGUCUUGGGCUGCACACGUGCUACAAUGGCCGGUACAAUGAGCUGCGAUACCGCGAGGUGGAGCGAAUCUCAAAAAAGCCGGUCUCAGUUCGGAUUGGGGUCU
rnacentral:rRNA from 1 species